rnacentral:rRNA from 1 species
UACGUAGGGUGCAAGCGUUAAUCGGAAUUACUGGGCGUAAUGCGUGCGCAGGCGGUGAUGUAAGACAGGUGUGAAAUCCCCGGGCUUAACCUGGGAACUGCAUUUGUGACUGCAUCGCUGGAGUGCGGCAGAGGGGGAUGGAAUUCCGCGUGUAGCAGUGAAAUGCGUAGAUAUGCGGAGGAACACCGAUGGCGAAGGCAAUCCCCUGGGCCUGCACUGACGCUCAUGCACGAAAGCGUGGGGAGCAAACGGG